AGCCCUGAAGGUUAUUGAUGAGAGUAUUUUCUGAGAGUUAAUAAUUAACUCAAAGUUGUUAUUAUUAUUAUGUACUGAUUUACAAAUCACAUUUAAUUACAUGAUCAAAAGGAUGAGAUCAUUAUUGUUUUACCUAUUGAACAGCUAGGAUUUGAACUGCACCAAGUUAAGGAUACAGUAUAUUACCAGUCGUUCCCAAGCAAACAAAGACUUUUAGAGAGACAAUAAGAAAGCUUGUCUUCUGUCCUAAUGUCCUGUGAGGUCUAGAAUAUACAUUAACCAUAAUGACAUUGGAGGUCAAAUAUUUACCCAAUACUGUUGAAAGAAGUCAGUGUUAUACCUAGUCCCAUGCGAUAUGAAAAUAUGUGGUCUUUGAGCAGAUUUUUUUUUUUUUAAGAUUUGGUGCUUAGCGGGGAGUGGUGGCUCACGCCUGUAAUCCCAGCACUUUGGGAGGCUGAGGCCACCUGAGGUCAGGAGUUCAAGACCAGCCUGGCCAACAUGGUGAAACCCCAUCUCUACUAAAAAUACAAAAAUUAGCCAGGCAUGGUGGUGGGUACCCAUAAUCCCAGCUACUCUGGAGGCUGAGGCAGGAAAAUUGCUUGAACCUGGGAGGAAGAGGUUGCAGUGAGCCGAGAUCGUGCCACUGCACUCCAGCCUGGGUGACAGAGUGAGACUCCGUCCCAAAAAAAAAAAAAAGAGUUGAUGCUACAUCUAACCUUCUACUGAUUAUAUUCUUUUCCCAUCAUUAAAUUAAGGAGAAUUUUGCUGGUGCAUUCUGAACAUUUAGUUUCUUUCAGCUUAAAUCUUUCUGAAGUUCAACCAGGGACCAAUAAUGAGUUCUAACUGAGAAUAAGUGUAGGUUGUUUCUGAAUUUUUAAAAAAGUGAUUUCAUGCUAGUCAUGUACCUGCAGCAUAUUCUUCUCAGAAAGAAAAACAAAAUGGUGCCUUACAGGACAAUAGAAUAAGAUUAUAGAAUUCUAAAUACCAGAGUACAUUGAAAUUCAAGUUAACUUUCACAUUUAUUAAAACUCUAAAUAAAAUUCUUGAUAAUUAAUCUCUAAAAUGUAUAAAUCUGCUGCAGACAUGUGCACAUAAA
rnacentral:lncRNA from 1 species